rnacentral:rRNA from 1 species
AUUGAACGCUUGCGGCAGGCCUAACACAUGCAAGUCGAACGGUCCCCUUAAACAGCUUGCUGUUUCUCUUCCCAUGGGUGGACGGGUGAGUAAUGUCUGGGAAACUGCCUGAUGGAGGUUUUGAACUACUGGAAACGGUAGCUAAUUUUUGUGAACGUCGCAAGACCAAAGAGGGGUCCUUGCGGGCCUCUUGCCAUCGGAUGUGCCCAGAUGGGAUUAGCUAGUAGGUGGGGUAACGGCUCACCUAGGCGACGAUCCCUAGCUGGUCUGAGAGGAUGACCAGCCACACUGGAACUGAGACACGGUCCAGACUCCUACGGGAGGCAGCAGUGGGGAAUAUUGCACAAUGGGCGCAAGCCUGAUGCAGCCAUGCCGCGUGUAUGAAGAAGGCCUUCGGGUUACACAGUACUUUCAGCGGGGAGGAAGGGAGUAAAGUCAAUACCUUUGCUCAUUGACGUUACCCGCAGAAGAAGCACCGGCUAACUCCGAACCAGCCGCCGCGGUAA